rnacentral:tRNA from 2 species
GGAGAGGUGGCAGAGUGGUCGAUUGUGCAGCACUGGAAAUGCUGUGUACGGGAAACCGUACCGAGGGUUCGAAUCCCUCCCUCUCCGC